GGGCGCGUAGCUCAGCGGGAGAGCACUUGCGUGACAUGCAAGGGGUCGCUGGUUCAAUCCCAGCCGCGCCCACCA
rnacentral:tRNA from 1 species